rnacentral:rRNA from 1 species
UACGGGGGGGGCAAGCGUUGUUCGGAAUUACUGGGCGUAAAGGGCUCGUAGGCGGCCAACUAAGUCGGAUGUGAAAUCCCCAGGCUUAACCUGGGAACUGCAUCCGAUACUGGAUGGCUUGAAUCCGGGAGAGGGAUGCAGAAUUCCAGGUGUAGCGGUGAAAUGCGUAGAUAUCGGAAGGAACAUCAGUGGCGAAAGCGGCUUCCUGGACCAGCACCGACGUUCAGGCACGAAAGCGUGGGGAGCAAACAGG